CAAGAACAUCCUGGGUCAGUGGAAUUCUGUUAUGGCAAAAUUGCAAAUAACUCUUUUGAAGAGAAAAAAAACUUUUUUUUUUUAUAUAUUUAUAUGUUAACAACACAAGUUAUAGGGUUAGUUAUUUCAUAUGUUAGGAAGUUCGUUGAAGACUUUUGUGUAAGCUGUCUUUGCUUCUUCCGUAUUUGAGACUUGGUACUUCUGCUGAUGUAUUGAAAAAUCAACAUAGUAGGGUACUUCAUUUGGAAACGUUCUUUUUAUUACUAAGGAUCAUUUGAAGAUUUUUGCUGCCUUGCCAUGUGGUCUUCCAAAUACUGGAGCAAGAUUAGGCCUUCUAAGACACAGGUUAUUAUACGUUAGACAUUUGGCCUCUAUAAACCUCCAUACGUAGAUGAAGAGAAUAAACUCAUUAUCCAGGCACUACACAGACAUGGAUCAUUCCUGUUAAACAGGGGAUGAAAUGAUGACUCCUCCCAUGACCUUAUAUGGGAGCAGCACAGUUGCUGAUAUGACUGGGAGUACCAGAAGAUAAGACACUGUUCCAGUUUUAUGAUUAAGAACACAGAGCAUAGGGCAGCUGCAAUUGCCCUGGAAAGGAUGGCUACUGGAGGUGAUCCUGCUACUGAAUAAGCACUGACUGAGACAAAGAAGUUCUUUCCACUGUCAUUUUUUCCAGUCAGCUGAUCAGGAAGUUCACAAAUAGUCAUUGAUGCUGAUGCUGAGGUAGAGGACAACCGAAGUGUGUCUACUGCUGACUUCCAGUUAUGCCAUAUAAUAAAUCAUUCAUUGUGAGUGUGUGCACGCAAGUGUGUGUGUCUGUGUCUAUAGCUAUAUCGCUAGAUAGACAGGUAUUAAUCUAUGGAUCUACUUUCACAUCUUGAAUGCGCACUUGACAGAACCACAAAAUAUCAAGACCAAAAACAUGCGCAGUCAAAUACCUGAAACUUCAUAAAAUCAACUCAGAGAAUAUCGAACAAAACAAAGCAAAUGGUACCUCCCAACUCAAUAGCAAGCCCAAACUACAACUGUUUCUUAUAUCUACACUUUUGUAGAGGGGCUAUGACCCCUGUACCCCCCUGUUGGGGGUGCACUACCACAAACUAAAUAUACCAACUCUGAGAUCGUACAUUUCAGAAAAUUUACCAACUCAGAGAUCACACUACAUUUCAGACAAGGGUAAAAUAUGGAUACACUGUGCUUCAACUACUACAGAUUUAUAUCAAACAACAUUAUCUUUCCAUUCUAACUCCAAAACAUACUUGUAAAUUAUUCCUUGUUGUUUUCCUAUCUUACUGGUUAAACUCUAAACGCAUCUUCACAGAAUCCAGCAGCAUCAACGUUACUUCCGCCAUGUCUCUUUACGUCCUCAACACAUCUUAAAGAGACAGUACACUAUUUCAACAAAUACCAUAUACCUUCUUCAAAACACUUUACAACACAGAAUUACCAUUUGCUUCUCCAUAUUCAGCAUUCUAAAAGUCAAUCUUUUGGACUUUCAGGUACUUGCAUUUUUGAUAUACUCGUCUUGAUAUGUUCCAGUACGGUCAAGUGGGCAUUCAAAAUUUGAAAUUAGAUCCACAUCUAUAGAUAUAUGUAUAUGUACAUAUAUAUAGAGAGAGAGGAAGUGAGAGCAAGAGGGGUGGGGAGAACAGAGACUGAGAGAGAGAAAGAGAGGCUGGUGGAAAUGAAAACUGUAGAGAGGAUUUUGUAUAAGAUGUUUCUUAUUAAUCAAAUGUAAUGUGGAUUAUUUUGCACUUAUUUUAUUUACAUUGUGAUACUUAUCAUCCAUCUUUCAUGUCAUUUUCUUCUCUCUGUGCACAUCUGAUACUGAUUUUACAUGACCUCCUGCACAUGGUAGGCAUUUUUAAUAUUAUUAUUAUUAUUAUUACUAUAUAUAAACAAUUUGCAUCUAGUUUUGCUUAAAUUACAUUUUCCAUAAAAUAAGUUUGAUAACUUUUUAUUCUGUUUUUUCUCUUUGUUGUGUUAAUUGCUUGUUAUCAUAGGUGAUCCUGACACUGGCACUGCAGAACUGCUAAUGCCUGAUGUCAAAGUAUUGGUAGCUGAUGAUGAUGAGGCACAGUCUGGGGGUGCAGAGGGUCAAUCUGACACUGAGGUUUUGGCACCCAUAUCCCUCGCCCAUUUAUCGGACACAGUUAGUAUGCCAGUGCAUACCCAUGAACAAAACCCUCAGAGAAAGCACAGGAUGAGGGUAACACAGUUGAUCAGGGUAGUGUAAUUACUCCAGUUAUAGAGCUGGCUUAGUCCUCCCAUAGCCAUUGUUAUAUCAGUAGGUGCCAUACACCGUAUGUAGAGGGCAAUCAUGGAGGCACAGUCAUGUUCCACCAGAGCAUUGUAACAAAUAGUGUGAGUACUUAAUAUUGACCAUUCUGAUGUGCAAGACUGUCUGAACCUUUUGGGUGACUCCACAGACAGGAUGAAUGACACUCUUGAUUGGGCAGUGUCUAUAAUGGAGCAUCUGCUGAGGAAGAUCAGCAUUCACAUUGCUGGAGAGGCUCUAAGUCAUCAGGUGUUAGCCACCAUGAGUGUGUAAUAUCCCACUCCUGUAUUAGCACUAUGCCCACAACUGCAUCAGUGGUUACGGUGUCCAUACCCAGUUGUAUUAGACCAAGUGGUUGUAUUCCUGGACAUCAUCAUUGUGAAGACAUCUCAUCCUACAUGCAUCAAUCACAUUCAGGUAGCACUCUAACAUCUAGCCAGGGCCAUGGAACUUGCAGUGCAACUCCUGGCAGAGGUAAUUCUUGUGGUCGUGACUUUGAACUGACUGUUCUACCAUGCACUGCUCAUACCUGUCUAUGAUGCAAUAAUGUAUUGCUAACACAAGUGCUUUGAUUGUGUUCAUGCAGACCAACACAUAUUAAAUAUCAUCUAUCUGUAUCACCUCAUGCACAUUUUAAACACACCCACACACAUAUACAUUCUAUCUAAACAAUUACUACUGAAUGUUAGCAAUCUGUUGUUAUUGGUACUGAAAAUUUUAUACUUGCUGAGAAACUGGUUUCUUAUUCACAUGAAUUCACUGCUUUGGUGUCAGGAUUGCCCUCCUGUAACCCCCACCACACACACACACAUCCUGUGCAUGUGUUGGUGACUGUGCCCUGCCAUUUCCACAUUUCUUUGUGACUCUGGGUUGCCUAUGUCUAAUAUAAAGAAUGACUAAGUAAUGCGUACUUAGUCAAAUACUUGGUUUCAUCACAUGUAUUGCAAAAAAUAAUUGAUUAAUAUUUCUUUUUCUUGUUCAGUUGUAAAGUAUUAAAUGUAAUUGUUUUGGUUUUAUUGUUCUUAUUAAUUUAAUGUUACUAGUUAUGCAUUGUUGCUUGCUCUUAAAUCUGUGCAAAUGACGGCUACCAUUGACCUGUUCACUAUUGGGUUAUCUACACUGGUCAAAUAUCACCCAUGUUGCACAGUAUUGGACACAAAUAUAGAUGUAGAUUGCAUGAUUCACUCGUGACUUACUGCUGACAUUACUUUAGAAUUGAGACACAUUUCAUCUUAUUGACAAAUAAGUAUCUGCAUAUGAAAGUAA